AUACGGAGGGGGCAAGCGUUGUUCGGAAUUACUGGGCGUAAAGGGCGCGUAGGCGGAACAUUAAGUCAGAGGUGAAAGGCCUGGGCUCAACCUGGGAACUGCCUUUGAAACUAGUGAUCUAGAGGCCGGAAGAGGAUGGCGGAAUUCCCAGUGUAGAGGUGAAAUUCGUAGAUAUUGGGAAGAACACCAGUGGCGAAGGCGGCCAUCUGGUCCGGUACUGACGCUGAGGCGCGAAAGCGUGGGGAGCAAACAGGAUUAGAUACCCCAGUAGUCC
rnacentral:rRNA from 1 species